GUAGGGAAUAUUGGACAAUGGGGGGAACCCUGAUCCAGCCAUGCCGCGUGGAGGAAGACUGCCCUCUGGGUUGUAAACUCCUUUUAUAUGGGAAGAACCGUCCUCAUUAAUGAGUGACCUGACGGUACCAUAGGAAUAAGCACCGGCUAACUCCGUGCCAGCAGCCGCGGUAAUACGGAGGGUGCAAGCGUUAUCCGGAUUCACUGGGUUUAAAGGGUGCGUAGGCGGCUAAAUAAGUCAGUGGUGAAAUCAACGGGCUCAACCUGUUAACUGCCAUUGAUACUGUGUAUCUUGAAUAUGAGAGAGGUAGGCGGAAUGUUGCAUGUAGCGGUGAAAUGCUUAGAUAUGCUACGGAACACCGAUUGCGAAGGCAGCUUACUAUUUCGUAAUUGACGCUGAGGCGCGAAAGUGUGGGGAGCAAACAGGAUUAGAUACCCUAGUAGUCC
rnacentral:rRNA from 1 species